rnacentral:rRNA from 1 species
GACGAACGCUGGCGGCGUGCUUAACACAUGCAAGUCGAACGGUGAAGGGGCCUGCUUUUGUGGGACCUGGAUGAGUGGCGAACGGGUGAGUAACACGUGAGUAACCUGCCCCCUUCUUCUGAAUAACCGCAUGAAAGUGUGGCUAAUACGGGAUAUUCUGGGUCUGUCGCAUGGUGGGCCUGGGAAAGAUUGCGCCUUUUUUGGUGUUUUUGGUGGGGGAUGGGCUCGCGGCCUAUCAGCUUGUUGGUGGGGUGAUGGCCUACCAAGGCGGUGACGGGUAGCCGGCCUGAGAGGGUGGACGGUCACACUGGGACUGAGACACGGCCCAGACUCCUACGGGAGGCAGCAGUGGGGAAUAUUGCACAA